rnacentral:sRNA from 1 species
UUCGUCACCACCCACGUCUCCAGUCAACUCCAGGAAACACCGGGCUGGAGUUGACAUCCACUCCUGUUCACAGUUUUUGCUUGAGUUGUACAGCCGCUGGAUCCUGCCGUCCAGCUCAGCCAGGAGGACCCCGGCCAUCCUCAUCAGUGAGGUGGUCAGAUCCCUUCUAGUGGUCUCAGACUUGUUCACCGAGCGCAACCAGUUUGAGCUGAUGUAUGUGACGCUGACAGAACUGCGAAGGGUGCACCCUUCAGAAGACGAGAUCCUCGCUCAGUACCUGGUGCCUGCCACCUGCAAGGCAGCUGCCGUCCUUGGGAUGCUGCGUGAACAUUCACAGCCAGCAGCACGUACUGGUCAUGUGUGCCACUGCGUUUUACCUCAUUGAGAACUAUCCUCUGGACGUAGGGCCGGAAUUUUCAGCAUCAAUAAUAC